rnacentral:rRNA from 1 species
UGGGGAAUAUUGCACAAUGGGCGCAAGCCUGAUGCAGCAACGCCGCGUGAACGAUGAAGGUCUUCGGAUCGUAAAGUUCUGUUGCAGGGGAAGAUAAUGACGGUACCCUGUGAGGAAGCCCCGGCUAAAUACGUGCCAGCAGCCGCGGUAAUACGUAGGGGGCUAGCGUUAUCCGGACUUACUGGGCGUAAAGGGUGCGUAGGUGGUCUUUCAAGUCGGUGGUUAAAGGCUACGGCUCAACCGUAGUUAGCCUCCGAAACUGGAAGACUUGAGUGCAGGAGAGGAAAGUGGAAUUCCCAGUGUAGCGGUGAAAUGCGUAGAUAUUGGGAGGAACACCAGUAGCGAAGGCGGCUUUCUGGACUGCAACUGACACUGAGGCACGAAAGCGUGGGUAGCAAACAGG